rnacentral:piRNA from 1 species
GAUUCAGCACGUAGGAUACAAUGAG